AAAACUGGGAGCUCUCUGAGCUCUGGUCAAGUGUAGUAUCUGUUCUUAUCAGUUUAGUAUCUGAUAUGUCCUUUAUUUGAGGACUGUAUAUUAAAUUGAUUUUUGGAACAGGGGGAUGGAAUAGGAGCUUGCUUGACCCGGUAUUGCAGUGUCUCCAGGAACGGUGCAUCUCCU